UUCAAGUAUUUAGGUUCUAUCAUACUAAAAAACAAAGCUUUAGAUGAGAAUAUAGCCCAUAGGAUCAAUACAGGAUAGAUAAAAUGGAGAAGUGCGACAGGUGUACUAUGCAAACAUAAAAUCCCUAAACAGUUAGACUAGUUAUGUUGUAUAGGAGUGAAUGCUGGGCAUCUAAGGUAUAACAUAUCCACAAGACGAUUGUGGCAACUGGAAAAAAUGUGGAUUUUAAAAUGGAUAUUUGAUAACACAAUAAUGGAUAAAAUUAAAAAUGAUCACAUAUGUUAGAGAAUGCAAGUAGCACAUAUUGGAGAUAAAAUG
rnacentral:misc_RNA from 1 species